rnacentral:rRNA from 1 species
GAUGAACGCUGGCGGCGUGCUUAACACAUGCAAGUCGAACGAAGCACUCUAUUUGAUUUUCUUCGGAAAUGAAGAUUUUGUGACUGAGUGGCGGACGGGUGAGUAACGCGUGGGUAACCUGCCUCAUACAGGGGGAUAACAGUUGGAAACGACUGCUAAUACCGCAUAAGCGCACAGGAUUGCAUGAUCCGGUGUGAAAAACUCCGGUGGUAUGAGAUGGACCCGCGUCUGAUUAGCCAGUUGGCAGGGUAACGGCCUACCAAAGCGAUGAUCAGUAGCCGACCUGAGAGGGUGACCGGCCACAUUGGGACUGAGACACGGCCCAAACUCCUACGGGAGGCAGCAGUGGGGAAUAUUGCACAAUGGGGGAAACCCUGAUGCAGCGACGCCGCGUGAGCGAAGAAGUAUUUCGGUAUGUAAAGCUCUAUCAGCAGGGAAGAAGAAUGACG